AAUCGUGGAAGUCACAUGUACUAAGUACUUAUUUAUUAUGUUACUCAAUAUUCAUAUAUAUUAUAGUACUUAUUAAGUAUAGUAAAUAAAUGAUUCAUCAUAAUAAAUAGAACAUAUUUUUAUAUGAAAUGAAUUCAAUCAAAAAUUUUCUUUUCUCUUUUUAAGAGUUAUUAUUAAGGCUUAAUUUAUGCCAUCAUCAAUCCAAUAAGACCAAUACCACAUCCUAUUUCAAGUACUGUUGUUUUUGGACUAGGUGCAAGUAAAUCUAUUACUGCAUUUGCCACAUUUUCUGCUCCUGCAGAAUUUGACCAAAAAUUUGUUUUAGGUGCAAGUUGGACUUUCAAUCCUCCAACAAUUUCAUCCAAAGCUUCUGAUCCAACUAGAAAUGUUGUAUCCGUAACAGCAGUACCAUCAUAUCUAAUAUUAAAUAAAAAAAUAAAUUAAUAAUAUAUAUUACUUAUUUCUUAAUAAAUGAAUGAAUAUUACAUAUUCACAACUUAAUAUAAAAUUUUUCAAUUUUUAAAAAUACUAUUAUGAUUUUAUA